GUGAAUCAUCAAAUCUUUGAACGCAAAUUGCACUCUCUGGUAUUCCGGAGAGUAUGCCUGUUUGAGGGUCAGUUUAUAUAAAAAUCGGUUUGGUUGAUGCAUUUCGUGGUGACGCACCGGAUUUGGGUCGUCUUGCUUUCGGUUAAGUGACCUAAAAUUUCGCAUGAUUAAUUUCGAACGCAUUUAAAUGAUUUUACUUACGUUUGCGAUAUCGAAUACUAGGCGUGGUCAUCCUCAUGGUUCG
rnacentral:misc_RNA from 1 species